rnacentral:misc_RNA from 1 species
GAUGAAGAACGUAGCGAAAUGCGAUAAGUAGUGUGAAUUGCAGAAUUCAGUGAAUCAUCGAAUCUUUGAACGCACAUUGCGCCCCAUGGUAUUCCGUGGGGCAUGCCUGUUCGAGCGUCAUUUACCCCCUUAAGCUCCGCUUGGUGUUGGGCGUCUGUCCCGCUUCGCGCGCGGACUCGCCCCAAAGGUAUUGGCAGCGGUCGUGCCAGCUUCUCGCGCAGCACAUUGCGCUUCUCGAGGCACCGGUGGGCCCGCGUCCAUCAAGCUCACCCCCCCAGUUUGACCUCGGAUCAGGUAGGGAUACCCGCUGAACUUAAGCAUAUCAAUAAGCGGAGGA